GUGGAAGCCAUUUUUCUCGUCGAUCUAACAGCAGAGCCUCCCUAAUUUGUCAUUUUCGUCUCUCAUUUGUUUUUGGUAAAAACAUAGCAAAGUAGCUUUGUUACCGAUUACCGACCAUUACCGUCACCGGUUAACCGGUGAUGGUAACGGUCGAAAUAUACAACGUCAAAAAGGAGUCGGUGAAAUUACCGACUUCCCCGACAAAGUCGGGACGGUAGGCGGAAAACCCCCUACCGUUCCCGAUUCCCCCGAUACCCACCCCUAGUUAGAAUUCACCCCUCUCAGUUAAAGUUACUGAGUCUUCUUCAUUUCUCUCUUCUUGUUCAUUUCUUUUUCGUUUCUCUUUCUUGCUCCUUCUUUCCCUGUUCCUGUCCGAGUCUUCGAAAGGGGAAGAUCGUGGGAGAAAGAGGAAGUUGUGAGUGAUGAGAGAUUAGAGAUGUGUUUGAGAGAGAAGAGUGAAGUUAAGAGAGAAAAUCUGAAGAGGAGAGACCCGUAUCCUCCUUUUCUCUUUCCCCUUGCCCGGUUCCCCUUCCUUCCUCUUUUCUUCUACUUUGCUUCUUCUUCCUCCCUCUCUACUCUCAACCGAACACAGAGAGAAAGAGAUGGGUGAGAGAAAUCGAGAAAGUGAAAGAGAGAGAGAGAGAGAGAUCGAACACAGGGAGAGAGAGAGAUAGCCGUGGGAGAGUUAGAGAGGGAGAGAACGGGAGGAUCGGACCCGAUCGUGGAGAACCCGAGAGACCCAAACCCGAUCCUCCAAUGGUCAUCGCCAGUGACGGUCCCAGUAGCGAUUUUCAGCGGUCCAGUAGUGAAAUCCGGCUACUUCCAAGGGCAAUUUCCGGCGAAAUUUCCGGUGAAGCCCAGAGAUGUUUUCCGGCGAAAUCAGAGAUGAUUUCCAGUAGAUUUUUAGUAUUGAAUGAAGAUCCUCUAUACUAAUGUUUUGGCUGCAGGUUCAACGGAUCUAGAGGAUGACCCCGUAGCUCUGUAUUUGGUGUACUGCGACCGAGGCAUAUCGCUAGAGUCGUAGCUGCGUGGACUUGGACGUCCCAUUUUGGUAGCCUGUUGUUAUUGGCUAGUGUCCUAUGUGACAUUUGUAUUUUGUAGAGCCAGUCUUUUGAUAUGUAAUCAAUGUUAAGUUUAAGCCUUAAAUAGAUAGACUUAUGUAUGGCACUUUUAUAAUUAACAGUUAUGUUAUAGAAAUGUUUUUCUGCUA